CCUACGGGAGGCAGCAGUGAGGAAUAUUGGUCAAUGGGCGCGAGCCUGAACCAGCCAAGUAGCGUGAAGGAUGACUGCCCUACGGGUUGUAAACUUCUUUUAUAAAGGAAUAAAGUGAGGCACGUGUGCCUUUUUGUAUGUACUUUAUGAAUAAGGAUCGGCUAACUCCGUGCCAGCAGCCGCGGUAAUACGGAGGAUGCGAGCGUUAUCCGGAUUUAUUGGGUUUAAAGGGAGCGUAGAUGGGUUGUUAAGUCAGUUGUGAAAGUUUGGGGCUCAACCGUAAAAUUGCACUUGAUACUGGCAGCCUGGAGUACAGUAGAGGUAGGCGGAAUGCGAGGUGUAGCGGUGAAAUGCUUAGAUAUCACGAAGAACUCCGAUUGCGAAGGCAGCCUACUAGACUGCAACUGACACUGAGGCGCGAAAGUGUGGGUAGCAAACAGGAUUAGAUACCCUUGUAGUC
rnacentral:rRNA from 1 species